GCAGCUCCAUGUCAGACGGCAUGGCUGUGGCUGUAGCCUGGAUUAGAACUGUGCUGAGCUGUGCUGUGCCAGGUAGCUCCAGAAGCACCUGCAGGGGAGCACCAGAGUUCUGCAUGGCUGCAGGGAUUCUGGGCAGCAGUUCUACAGCCAUGACCCCAUUCAGAGAGUAGCUCUGGCUACAGGAGAUCCCUGUUAGACCUUCCGUCCUGCUCCCAGCCUCGUGGAGGCUUUGGCACACCAGGCUUUUAAACAAGCACAAUCUGCGCUGAAUUAAUUUUAUCGUUAGGGUUAAUUGGUCCUGAACAAAAUGGAGAUAAAAUACUUUUUCUAAUUUUUCAAUGAUACAGAAAUUGUGUUGUUUGCUCUAACUGCAGCUGUUAUGAAGACGAUAAGAUUCCUGUUCUAAAGCAUAGUUCUCUCCCAAGGUGGUUAUUCCUGUCAGUGUUUAAUUGAUUUUGUUAGUGUAAAUAAAUGCCUUAAAUGACUUGUGGCCUCCCAGGAUGGCUCUGAUGGCAUAGCUUAUCCUCACUGAUUACACUGAGGGGUCCAGUGCAGUGUCAUGGGGACAAGAGCAAGUGCUGCUGUGCUGCAGCCUGAUCCUGCCAUGCCUGCACAUUCCUGCUGUCUGCUGAGAGCAGGCAGAAUGAAAAACACAGACGGGCACAGCAGUUUGCCUGUGUAACUCCAAGGAUCACACACAGUGUGAGAUGACGAGAAGCAGAAAACUGCACCACACAGGCUUGGGUGAGAGCCCCAUAACACUGCAGGGCCUGGAGGAGGUGCUGCUGGCUGCAGCCCCCAGCUGUGUGCCCCACACUCCCCUUACCUGCCAGGCUUUGCCCUAGUGCAGCAGGAAAUGUGUGCUGAUUUACUGGCUUGGAACAAAUUACUGUACAGGAAAACAGUGAUUCUUUUUGCAAAGUUACCACCAUCUCAUCUCCUUUUUAAUUAGUUACACAGUAAAUUAGUCAUGAGUGGUGACUCACAAGAGAUUAAUACGGUCAUUAAGAGAAAGCCUACAAUUCACUAGCACCCAGCCACAACCUGGAGCUGCCUAAACAAAUGAAAAGAUGAUGGGCUGUAUUUUCAGAUCCUUUGUUCCAAGCACAGUAUUUUGCACCAUCAUCUGAUCUGUACCACUAAGUGCACUUCCAGCCCUGGCACAGUCCUGCACAGACUGACCAUGGCCCUGGGCAUCCCUGCAGGGAGCAGGGUGCUGACUCCAUAUGCUGACCAUUUGCACAAGGUCAGUCCCCUGGCACUGCCAUUCCAUUCUCCUCCAAGCUACAGGCCCUGCCUCCUCCCCUCUGCUCCCUCUGCCCUGCAGACACGCUUUCCUUCCCCGCUCUGUGCAUUUGCUCUCCUCUUGUCUAUCAUUCCCCUGCCCUUCUGUUGGCUCUGCCCUUCUCUAGACUUUGCUCCAACCACCUCCUUGCUGCUCGGCCUGCUGUCACCCCCACAUCCCCGCAUUACGUGCCAAACACCAAGGCUGGAAAAAGCUGCAGAAUGCAAAUGCUCUGGUAAUAGAACAGUGUCCUGCUGAGGGCUGACCCACCCUGUCACUGCCUGCAGCUUUGUGCUGACGCACCCCAUGCACGUGGUCUGACCGCACUGGAUCUGGUGCUGCUGCACAGCAGGGAGGCUGCACGUUGGCAGAGUCACCCAGAGUUCUGCAGCCCUCAGUGUCAGGGACUCACCUGUGCAUCAAUGAUCUUCUGCUUGGAGUCCACGGCAGCCUGCAUUUCUGCAUGGUCUUUUUUCAGCUCCUCCUCAACUGACAUCAACCUGGUAGCCAGAGACAAGAAAAUAAAAACCUGUUUUCAAGAUGCA